rnacentral:rRNA from 1 species
GACGACGCUGGCGGCGUGCCUAAUACAUGCAAGUAGGACGAGUUGCGAACGGGUGAGUAACGCGUGGUAACCUGCCUAUUAGCGGGGGAUAACUACUGGAAACGGUAGCUAAUACCGCAUACCCUCGGCUGUGCCCAGAGGGGAUUAGCUAGUAGGUGGGGUAAAGGAUCACCGAGGCGACGAUCCCUAGCUGGGCUGCUAGGAUGACUAGCCACACUGGAACGGCGACAUGGUCCAGACGCCGACGGGAGGCAGCCGUGGGGAAUAUUGCACAAUGGGCGCAAGCCUGAUGCAGCCAGGCCGGUUGUAUGAAGAAGUCCUUCGGGUUGUAAAGUACUUUCAGCGGGGAGGCGUUACCCGCAGAAGAAGCACCGGCUAACUCCGUGCCAGCAGCCGCGGUAAUUC